rnacentral:rRNA from 1 species
GACGAACGCUGGCGGCGGGCCUAAUACAUGCAAGUCGAACGCAGUGGGGACGGGUGAGUAACCCGUGGGUAACCUACCAUCAGAGGGGAUAACACUUGGAAACAGGUGCUAAAACGAUACUGAUGGAUGGACCAGCGGUUCAUUAGCUAGUUGGUGAGGAAACGGCUCACCAAGGCCACGAUGCAUAGCCGACCUGCGAGGUUGAUCGGGCACACUGUGACUGAGACACGGCCCAGACUCCUACGGGUGGCAGCAGUGGGGAAUAUUGCACAAUGGGCGCAAGCCUGAUGCAGCCAUGCCGCGUGUAUGAAGAAGGCCUUCGGGUUGUAAAGUACUUUCAGCGGGGAUGCGUUACCCGCAGAAGAAGCACCGGCUAACUCCGUGCCAGCAGCCGCGGUAAUUC